rnacentral:lncRNA from 1 species
AAAGAGUUUGAAAGCCACUGAUCGAGGCUAUAUUUAAGAGUAGAAUUGCUAGGUCUUAGCAAAUGUGCGUGUUCAAGUUGCCUACGGAGAUUGUCCAGUGGUCCUCUGCCCGUGACCGUGGUGUGGCCGCCAAAUUCUGUUUCCUGUUUCUUCUUCCAGGGCACGUGGAGAAAUACAGUUCCCCACUCCCUAGUGGCGAGGUGGGACCACGUAGCUGGUCUGGACAAUGAAAAGUAAGCAGAAGUGACAUAUGUCACUUCCAGACUGUGGCAACGCAAACUUCCCGAGAGAGUCUCCAUUCUCUCCCUUCCUCCCACUGUGGCAACAUAGGGACCUUCAGAGAGAUGAGAGAGCCGGGAUCACUGAGUCACCAUGUGGAGGACACUGGCCUGCAGAGCAAUUAAGACCCACAGCGGACUUUGUAAGUUUGGCACUGGGGGUGGAAAAGUGAACUCUGCUCCAGGAAAUCAUCAGGAUCCCAAGUGAGAAUGUGCAGUCGGUCUCCAUCCAACACCACGAUGGCUGCUCCACCAGCAGGAAGGAGGAGGGGCCAGCACUGAUGACCAAGACAGAGUUUAGCCCAGCUCAUAUCCAUCAGGAAUUCUUUGGUUGCAAAUGACAGAAAUUCAACUCAAACUAGCUUGAGAUAAAAGGGAACUUUUGAUGGCUCAAGUAAUCAAAAUUCUGGUAUGAUGGGCAGCAGCUGGCCUCCAGGGUACUGGAAGCCGAGACAUGAAGUCCAAUAGGACUCCCUCACUCCAUCUCUUCUUUGCUUCUCCCUCAUGUCAGUUUUAUUCUCU